UCUCGAAUCCUUGGAACCUAGGUGUGAGUGCCAUUUCAGUGCAACACACCUAUUCAAGGAUUCAAA
ensembl:miRNA